UGGGGAAUAUUGGACAAUGGGGGCAACCCUGAUCCAGCAAUGCCGCGUGUGUGAAGAAGGCCUUCGGGUUGUAAAGCACUUUUAUCAGGAACGAAAUCUGCAGGGUUAAUACCCAUGCAGUCUGACGGUACCUGAGGAAUAAGCACCGGCUAACUUCGUGCCAGCAGCCGCGGUAAUACGAAGGGUGCAAGCGUUACUCGGAAUUACUGGGCGUAAAGGGUGCGUAGGUGGUCGUUUAAGUCCGUUGUGAAAUCCCUGGGCUCAACCUGGGAAUGGCAGUGGAUACUGGACGGCUAGAAUGCGGUAGAGGGUAGUGGAAUUCCCGGUGUAGCAGUGAAAUGCGUAGAGAUCGGGAGGAACACCAGUGGCGAAGGCGGCUACCUGGACCAGCAUUGACACUCAAGCACGAAAGCGUGGGGAGCAAACAGGAUUAGAUACCCCCGUAGUCC
rnacentral:rRNA from 1 species